GGUUGCAUCGCUUUAACUGCUUGGCUUUUAACCAAUUGGUCGCUGGUUCGAAUCCAGCACGACCCACCA
rnacentral:tRNA from 1 species